GACGAACGCUGGCGGCGUGCCUAAUACAGGCAAGUUGAGCGAUGAAGAUUGGUGCUUGCACCAAUUUGAAGAGCAGCGAACGGGUGAGUAACGCGUGGGGAAUCUGCCUUUGAGCGGGGGACAACAUUUGGAAACGAAUGCUAAUACCGCAUAACAACUUUAAACAUAAGUUUUAAGUUUGAAAGAUGCAAUUGCAUCACUCAAAGAUGAUCCCGCGUUGUAUUAGCUAGUUGGUGAGGUAAAGGCUCACCAAGGCGAUGAUACAUAGCCGACCUGAGAGGGUGAUCGGCCACAUUGGGACUGAGACACGGCCCAAACUCCUACGGGAGGCAGCAGUAGGGAAUCUUCGGCAAUGGACGAAAGUCUGACCGAGCAACGCCGCGUGAGUGAAGAAGGUUUUCGGAUCGUAAAACUCUGUUGGUAGAGAAGAACGUUGGUGAGAGUGGAAAGCUCAUCAAGUGACGGUAACUACCCAGAAAGGGACGGCUAACUACGUG
rnacentral:rRNA from 1 species